rnacentral:rRNA from 1 species
AGCUUGCUCCCGGAUGUUAGCGGCGGACGGGUGAGUAACACGUGGGUAACCUGCCUGUAAGACUGGGAUAACUCCGGGAAACCGGAGCUAAUACCGGAUAGUUCCUUGAACCGCAUGGUUCAAGGAUGAAAGACGGUUUCGGCUGUCACUUACAGAUGGACCCGCGGCGCAUUAGCUAGUUGGUGAGGUAACGGCUCACCAAGGCGACGAUGCGUAGCCGACCUGAGAGGGUGAUCGGCCACACUGGGACUGAGACACGGCCCAGACUCCUACGGGAGGCAGCAGUAGGGAAUCUUCCGCAAUGGACGAAAGUCUGACGGAGCAACGCCGCGUGAGUGAUGAAGGUUUUCGGAUCGUAAAGCUCUGUUGUUAGGGAAGAACAAGUGCAAGAGUAACUGCUUGCACCUUGACGGUACCUAACCAGAAAGCCACGGCUAACUACGUGCCAGCAGCCGCGGUAAUACGUAGGUGGCAAGCGUUGUCCGGAAUUAUUGGGCGU